rnacentral:rRNA from 1 species
GACAGAGGGUGCAAACGUUGUUCGGAAUUACUGGGCGUAAAGGGCGCGUAGGCGGCCUUCUAAGUCGAACGUGAAAUCCCCGGGCUCAACCCGGGAACUGCGUCCGAUACUGGAAGGCUUGAAUCCGGGAGAGGGAUGCGGAAUUCCAGGUGUAGCGGUGAAAUGCGUAGAUAUCUGGAGGAACACCGGUGGCGAAGGCGGCAUCCUGGACCGGUAUUGACGCUGAGGCGCGAAAGCCAGGGGAGCAAACGGG